rnacentral:rRNA from 1 species
UACGGAGGAUGCAAGCGUUAUCCGGAUUCAUUGGGUUUAAAGGGUGCGCAGGUGGGAAAAUAAGUCAGUGGUGAAAUACUGCCGCUUAACGGUAGAAUUGCCAUUGAUACUGUUUUUCUUGAGUAUGGUUGAGGUAGGUGGAAUGUGUUGUGUAGCGGUGAAAUGCAUAGAUAUGACACAGAACGCCAAUUGCGAAGGCAGCUUACUAAGCCAUUACUGACGCUGAGGCACGAAAGCGUGGGGAUCAAACAGG